rnacentral:ncRNA from 1 species
AGAUCCUAGCCCCUGGCACACUGGGACCGGGUCUUCUCGGAGUCAGGUUGCUUGGAAAUGCAGCCCAAAACGGAUGGUAAACUCCAUCUAAGGCUAAAUACUGGCACGAGACUGAUAGUCAACAAGUACAGUAAGG